UGCCUUUCUUCCUUGCGCAUCACACCCGGACCCGAUAGCCCGCCCGAGCCGAGAGAGAGAGACCGCCUCACCCUCACAGAAACCCCCACCCAUCGUCAACCUUCACAUCGCCGUCGCCGUCGGAGCCGGACGCCUUCGUCGUCAAUUUCUCCCCCCCGACCCAACACCCAGCCCCCCUCACUCGUCGUCGUCGUCGAAGCAUCAACCCUAGGCCCCUAGGUCUUUGGCUGCUAACCCUCACCUUGCCAUCGACGCAUCGUCGUCCUCGUCAGACCCAAGCCCCUUCAAGCCCUUCACCGUCGGCUUCUUCCCCACCCAAGUCCAACACGGCAACACCCAGCCCCCCUGGCCCCUGCACUCGAUAGCCCGAGACCCAGCCCCCCGGUCGUCGAAGCAUCGACCCUAGCCCUAGGUCACCGGCUAACCGAACCCUCACGUCGUCCUCGCCCUCGCCGUCAGACCCAAACACCUUCACCGUCGGCUUCUCCCCCGCCCAACACCCAGCCCCCCUGCACCUGAUAGUCCGAGACCCAGCCCCCCCACCCUGUCGAACGCGACAGCAAACCCUAAGCCAUUUCACCCUCCUCACCGUCAACAUCAACAAUCUGGUUGGUUUCGGCAACUUAGGAGUGAACGAUCUUGCGGGUAUCGCCGUCAUCGAUUUGAGAAGGACUAGGUGAUUGGAAAAUUUGAAAGCAACAGCUGUGCUCUCAAAAAUAAUUGUAUGGAUUUGGAAACAGAAAACAGGAUAGCUGCUAUUCUCAUGAAAGAGGCAGUGGAAUUACGGCAACAAGCUGAGAAAGAGGGCGUGCAUGCUUAUCUUAGGAAGCCUCAGGUUAGGGGUAGACCAAAUUCACGUUUCCUCACAGCAACUGUCCUUGGUGUACAACAGGCAAAUAGAGUUGUGGAGGUCAAUGAGAUGUGGCGCGUGCGACAGAAGGAACUGCAACUGGAUAAUAGGCUUAAAGGGAGAUCUGAAGAUGACAGCAGCACUGGUGGCACGUACAGAGACAUGAAUGAUUCACAAAGGGCUACAAGUAUUAAAACAAGUGCUGGUGCUUCACAUUCAUCAAGUAAAAGAGCUAUGCAAGAUUGCCAUUCUAGGGAUGAUGGUUUGAAGGAUGAAGACAUUGAGGAAUUUCUACAGUCAAGGUCCACCCCCCUGCACGUCGAACACACCCACCAAAGAGGGGUCAAGCGCGGUAGGGGCUCUGUUGGUUCACGGAUGGAUGAAACUGGUCCAUAUAUUCCCCCUUCUCCAGAUUCCCGGGCAAAGCAUUUAGCUAACCAUGAUGGGGGCAGCAGUGGAGUCUCCGAACAUCACAUCAGACUUGGUCCAAAGAAGCCUUCUUAUCUAAAGUCUCAUGCGUCUCCUGAAAAGGAGUCUGUUGAGGGUGAGUGGAAGGAAGAAAAGAAAGUUGGCUCAAGCAAGAAACACUUGAGAAAACACAGGUCAAAAGAUAAGUCCAGAGAUAAGAAGAUGAAGAAGAAAAAGAGGGAGGAAAAAAGAUAUAGGCAUCGCAAGGAUUUGUAAAUUUUCUCACCUUCCAAUUUUACAAUGACGGGUGGAUCGCUGGGUUGGAAAAUCUGUUGGUUUGUAUCAUAGUUUGUCUUUGUACAAUACGCAAAUGAUUUAGUCAGUGAUAUCUGCUCUAGGUCGUGCAGAAAUGGGGGAAGGAAUGAUGUACUUGAAGAAAAAUCAAUGAUUGUGGACGACUGUUUGUAGGUGACUUCUUGGGACUAGAGCAGCCUGAUGUUUGGUGGCAAAGCACACUCACUGCAAGGAUUCGGCUGGAGUGGAGGCUGGAGAGCGGCUGCCAAAUUCACAAAAAUUAUUAUUGUUGCUUCACAAUCAACCAGAAAUGGACAACUUGUCAAGAGUGUUUUAAGGCAUAUUUGGGCUUGGGGUUGCAAGGUUUGGAUGGAGCUUAUGCGCUAUCAAGUAUCAAUCAAUUUAAAAAUAAAACAGGUCCUCUUCCAAGUUCAAGGGGCCUGGCCUAGAAUAGGGAAAGUGCGCAUGCAUACUAGUUAAUUGGACUUGGACACCAUCAUCUGGGUCUUCUUGUAACCCAACACACGUUUCAGGAAGUUUUCCACUUUUUUUCUAUACCCAUUGCCCCGUGCCCGUAAUGUAUAAAGUUACGCCUAUUAAUUG